rnacentral:rRNA from 1 species
GAUGAACGCUGGCGGCGUGCCUAAUACAUGCAAGUAGAACGCUGAAGGAGGAGCUUGCUCUUUCCGGAUGAGUUGCGAACGGGUGAGUAACGCGUAGGUAACCUGCCUGGUAGCGGGGGAUAACUAUUGGAAACGAUAGCUAAUACCGCAUAACAGUAGAUAUUGCAUGAUAUUUGCUUGAAAGGGGCAAUUGCUCCACUACCGGAUGGACCUGCGUUGUAUUAGCUAGUUGGUGAGGUAACGGCUCACCAAGGCGACGAUACAUAGCCGACCUGAGAGGGUGAUCGGCCACACUGGGACUGAGACACGGCCCAGACUCCUACGGGAGGCAGCAGUAGGGAAUCUUCGGCAAUGGACGGAAGUCUGACCGAGCAACGCCGCGUGAGUGAAGAAGGUUUUCGGAUCGUAAAGCUCUGUUGUAAGAGAAGAACGAGUGUGAGAGUGGAAAGUUCACACUGUGACGGUAUCUUACCAGAAAGGGACGGCUAACUACGU